UACAGAGGUCUCGAGCGUUGUUCGGAUUCAUUGGGCGUAAAGGGUGCGUAGGUGGCGGGGUAAGUCAGGUGUGAAAUUUCGGAGCUUAACUCCGAAACUGCAUUUGAUACUGCCUUGCUUGAGGACUGGAGAGGAGACUGGAAUUCACGGUGUAGCAGUGAAAUGCGUAGAGAUCGUGAGGAAGACCAGUGGCGAAGGCGGGUCUCUGGACAGUUCCUGACACUGAGGCACGAAGGCCAGGGGAGCAAACGGG
rnacentral:rRNA from 1 species